rnacentral:tRNA from 2 species
GGAAAAGUAGCUCAGUUGGUUCGAGUAAUAGCUUGUCACGUUAUAAGUCGCGGGUUCAAGUCCCGUUUUUUCCG